AAAGCUAGUAGUGAGUCUCACAUCUAAACUUCUUUAAUAUGAUGUUCAUGGUCUUCAUGUUUUGUUUCCUUCAUCUGCCGGGGAAUAACGGCGUCUCUCAUACCGCCAGUGUCCUCCAAACACCUCCAUUCAUCAUUAAGAGAACUGGUGAAUCUGUUGUCAGUGAGAUCUACUGCUUACACAGCAUAACAAGCUAUGAACGCAUUCUCUGGUACAAACAGGACAAAUACAAAUCUCUGAAGUUACUGGGAUAUCUAAACCUGAAAUUCCCAUAUCCGGAGGAAGACGUGAAAGGAAAAAUCAGCUUUGAUGGAGAUGGCAGCAAACAUUCAAACCUGACUAUAUCUAAUGUUUCAUUAAGUGACAGUGCUGUGUAUUUCUGUGCUGCCAGUCAGCACAGUGCUGCAGAUUCCCCUCAGCUCACUACAAAAACCCUUCAUCUGUUUGACAGGCAGACAAAAUGUUCAGGCUCUUCAACACCUGCAGCCUGACUUCAACUAAACCAAGACUUGAAGAUUUUAUCAACUGUUUUGACACAUUUUUGACCCCCUCUGAGGUCCUGUUGUAGGCCCACAGUUAAACAUACUGUAUUGUCGUCAUAAUCCUUUGAUGUGCAGAACAUAAUGUUUGUAAUAUUGUCUCAUCAGCUACAAGAUGGAUGGAAUCUGGCACUAUAGUAGGUAUGGUACAUCAUUGUGGUUAUUCACUGAGAGAAAAAAAUGAUCACU